GAAGAAAAAUUUCCUGAGAAGAGACUGUACAAUGAAGGAAGAGGUUCCACACUGUGGAGGAGCCUGUGGCAGAAAGCAGACGAUGUUAAAGUAGACGGUUCCCUAAAGCUGGCUGACCAGAUCAGCAGACGCGCUGUCUUGCUCUGGGUUCCAUCACACUGUGAAGGGGAGGCGGCAUCGCGCAGCCCUGCACGGAGCAGCCCUGCAUCACCUCCUGGCAGCCAAAACCCCGCUUAGCAGAUACUGUGGAAAACAUCAGGCCAGGCAAAAAUAAUAUGCUCCAGGCUUUUCCUUGGCUCCACGCUAAUGAACACACACCCACCAGAUGAGCAGACAGUGCUGCUGCUGCCCGGCCUCGCUCCUGGAGGUGGCUCAGUGCGUCGGAUCCAGGUCUGACCCGAGGGAAGCCUCAGCUGAUCUGCCAGCAGGUGUGGGGAGCCCUGGGGCUGUGUGCUGGGCCGUGUGCCCCAAGUAGCCGAAGUUUGGGACCAACAGCUCCAGUGCUGUGCUGUGUGCAGCUCAGGAGACAAAAGGGAAAAUUAAAUCUUGGCAAGAGGUGAGAAACAGAGGCACGUUCUGUACUGGGGGCUGUGCUGAGCCCUGGUUCUGAGCUGUUUGGUGCCCUUACCACCAGGU
ensembl:lncRNA